UGGGGAAUAUUGCGCAAUGGACGAAAGUCUGACGCAGCGACGCCGCGUGAGGGAAGAAGGCCUUCGGGUCGUAAACCUCUGUCAGGAGGGAAGAACCCCUUGGAUUCGAAUAGGGUCCUUGGCUGACGGUACCUCCAAAGGAAGCACCGGCUAACUCCGUGCCAGCAGCCGCGGUAAUACGGAGGGGGCGAGCGUGAAUCGGAAUCACUGGGCGUAAAGCGCGCGUAGGCGGCUUGGCAAGUCAGGCGUGAAAUCCCUCGGCCUAACCGGGGAACUGCGUUUGAAACG
rnacentral:rRNA from 1 species